GAAAUGCCAGCUGAGGCACAUGCCUUGGGAGCUAAGUGGUUGCUGCCCUUGACCACUGUGAAGACUGGUGUGGGAAGGGUCGCUUUGGAUGCACUUGAGCAGGGGUCCCCAACCCCUGAGCCAUGGAGCCGCAAGGAGCCACACAGCAGGAGGUGGGACCAUCCAGUUGCAGGAAAACAAGCUUGACACGCCCACUAAUUCUACAUUAUGCUCCUACCUCCCGGCAGCCUCUCCAGGCCCAGAACUUUCUCCAGUCAGCCUCUACAGACCAAGCUCAUGACUCACAAUGGCCUAUUUAGGCCCAUACCCUACGUCACGGCAGCCUCCGCAGAUGAGGCUACUGCCUCACAACAGCCUCCACAGGCACAGCUCCAUCGUUACAAUGGCCUCUUUAGACCCAGCUCCUGCCUCCCAGCCUUCUCUCCAGGCCCUGAACUUUCUCAAGUCGACCUCACCAGGCCCAGCUCAUGCUUCUUUGCAGCCUCUCCAGGCCCAGCUCCUGCAUCUUGGUGGCCCCUCCAGGCCCAGCCUCUGCCUCCCGUCAGCCUCUACAGUCCCAACGUCUGCCUCACAGCAGAUUCUUCACGCCCAGCAUCUACCUCACUGUGGACCCCCCAAGCCAAGCUCCCAACCUUUCAGCAGCUUCUACACACCCAGCUCCCGCCUGCCAGUGGCCUCUUCAGGCCCAUGGGGCUCAUUCCUGACAACGGCCUUUCCAGGCCCAGUUUUUCCCUUCCGGCGGCCUCUCCGGGCCCAGAACCUCCUCAAGUCAGCCUCUCCAGACCCACUUGCACCCUCCGGGCGUUCUCUCCGGGCCCAGCUCUUCUUCCUGGUUGGGUCUCCAGGCCCGAUUCCUGCCUCUCAACAACCUCUUUGGACUCAGUGCCUACCCAUCUCCUGGCGGCCUUGGUCGGCCCACAGCUUCCUCAAGCCAAGCUCCCCAGGCCCAGGUCAGGCCUCACGGUGGCCUCUCCAGGAUGAGCUCCUGCCCUCCGAUGGCAUCUCCAGGCCCCAAAUGGUCUCCGGUCGGUGGGCUCCUCCACGCCAAGGUUGGGCCUCCCGGCGACUGCCGCAGGCCCAAGUUGUCCUGAAGUCGGGCUCUCCCGGCCCUGCCUCCCAGCAAGUAAGCAAGCUCUUUUGGCUCAACUCCUGCCCAGCUCCCAACCGCCUUUGUAGGCCCCGAACUUUCUCCAGCCAAGCUCUGAGGGCCCACCUCCUGCCUCCUGGUGGCCUGUACAGUUCUAGCACUGGUUGGAGAACAGCCUCUGCAGGCCCCGCCCUUGCCUCCCAGGGGCCUCUCCAGGCCCAGCUCUUGCCCCCACGGCGGCCUCCCGGGGCCAAGUCCCUGCCUGCCUCCCAGCAGCCCGCGUGCGGCCCAGCUCCUCCCUCACGGUGGCCUGUUGAUGCCCAACUCAUGCCUCUGGCACCCUGCCCAGAGGCGUGAGCCCCUGCCUCACACUGGCUCCUCCCACGCUGAGAGAGGUCAGUGUGAGCCCCUUGCCUCACACCGGCCCCUCCCACGCUGAGAGAGGUCAGAGUGAGCCCCUUGUCUCACACCGGCCCCUCCCACGUGGACAGAGGUCAGCGUGAGCCCCUUGCCUCACACCGGCCCCUCCCACGCUGAGAGAGGUCAGUGUGAGCCCUUGCCUCACACCGGCCCCUCCCACGCGGACAGAGGUCAGCGUGAGCCCCUUGCCUCACACCGGCCCCUCCCACGCUGAGAGAGGUCAGUGUGAGCCCUUGCCUCACCCCGGCCCCUCC
rnacentral:lncRNA from 1 species